rnacentral:misc_RNA from 1 species
UAAAACUAUUGGCAUGGCCCAACAAAUCCUGUAACAUUACAGCAAGUUCAAAUCUGAACAAAGAUGAUAUUGUUGCAUCGCCAUCCAAAAAGCACAUUAUCUAACUUUGCGAAAAUUGUGCACACCACCAAAAAUUUAAGUCAGAUCACACAACUCUAGCCAUACAAAAACCCUUUUUUUUUUUUUUUCUUGAUAUCAAAUUCGAAAUCCUGUCCUGAGUUCUGCAUCAUGCCAUAUUCACUCCAGUCUUAAACUUUCUUUUAAGU